rnacentral:lncRNA from 1 species
GCCUUCCACGCCUUCCCGGAGUCUCCGAGCGCACGCGCCACCUGACUAGCGCGGUCAUUGGCUGCUGCCUGUUGCUAACCCACGUGACCGGCGCCAGCGCGCUCCGCCCCUGCCCCUGCUAGCCUAGUGCUUUCCUGCGGACGUGCGCUGCUGCCCAGCCUCAGGCUCCAGUCCUGCGCUGGCUGCUGCUGGCUGUCGUCAGCGAUGCCGCCGCCGGCCACAAGGUGGCAGUGCCGUGCUGCGUGGCUACACGCCCCUGGAAGCACCGGACCAGCCUUGGUCUGGCAAAAGUUUUCCAGUCUUUCCAGCAGAUGCGCCCAGGCCGUGAGCCCUCCCGGGCGGCCUGGAGGCAAGGGAUCGGGUGGGGGUGGGGUAGCCGCCGAUGUCCUGGGUGGCUUUGGGGGCGAUUUGCAAAGGCAUGCAUUUGUUGUUAAGAGCUCGGAGAAACAGUUUGGGGGAGCCUGUCACAGAUGCAAAGUCUGUUGAUAUUUCCAGGAGUGUUUGGUUUGGUUUGGGCUUUAGGGACCUACAGCAAGCAUCGAUUCUCGUGGAGGCGAACAACACUGACAGCUACUCUUUGUCUCUCGUCGGGAUUCUGAACAGAGCCCGACGUCGCUUCCAUUUCAGAGAUAUAUGCCGCUGACACUACCUUGAGAGAGCUCCUGCCUCCAUGGUUCCUGACCUGCCUAGAAGGGGAGGGCGCAGGAGACUCUUGUUCUACAGCUGUCCUCGGGAUGCCCUCAAUUCCCAGGCGCAGGGAUAAGCUUGUCUGACCCCAUUUGACCCCGCCGCAGGCGCCAGGCGUCCUCAUUUAUUGCGAGGCCUAAGAGUCCUCAAGGCUUACUGCCUGCCUACCCCCCUCCCCCACCACCCGCCGCUCUUCGUUUUUUGGUGUUUUGUUUUGUUUUGUUUUGUUUUUCCUCUCCUUGUCCUGUGCGGGAAUCAUAUGCCUCCUUCCUGUUGUCUAAGCUCCCCUCUUCCGUAGGCACAAACCUGCCCCCUCUGCGUUUUUUACCUUAAAACAGGUGUUCUGAGGAUUGUCUCUAGUUCUGGCGACGUCUUGAAAGAACUGAGUCUGAGCGAGGCAGACAGACGGCAGCAUUAGUGGUGAUGGAGCUGCACUGCUAAAUGUGGAGAUGGGAGGGGAAACACACCUGGGCUUCCACAGGGCAGGAGAAGAUCUGUCACUUGGGCAGAGCCUUUGAGUCGCACUCAGGUGAUCUCCAGGUAUCUUUUGUCUGUUUUAACCUGACAUUCAUUUGCAUCUAACAGGACUCCCGAAAGAAGCCUGGUGUAACUGAGUCUGGAAUUUUUGCUGGGCUUGCUAGGUCUACACUCUCCCACCUGUGCUCCGAGGAGAGGUGUAGACUAUCUCUUGGAUUUUGCUUGGAGGAUGUCCUUUCCGGACUCAGGACCUAGGAGAGACCAGCAGGAAACAGAACAGAGUCUACAUAGGUGAAUAUCAAAGAAUCACCUGGAGAGAUUUACAGGGUCUUGGGAAGCUACGGUUUUUGUCCAUGGGGCUGAGUUGCUACACCACCCUAGAUGGUGGGCUGAGGGGCCUCUUCUGAUGAACUCCCUUCAGAAUGCAUUCCCUUCACAUCUGUUACCUCUUGCGGUGUGGGUCGCUGCUCUGUGGAAGUUGGACAGAACCCUUGGAACCUCCCGUGUGAUUCUGAAGUCUAGUGCAAACUCCAGUCAGUAAACUAAGAGAAACCAUUUUUAGUCAAAGGAAGCAAGGAACACUCCAACCAGCCCAGACUGACUUUCUUCUGUGGUUAAAAAUCUGGAUCUCCAUGUAAUUGCAACUGGGAAGAUCCUGCUGGAAGAUGUGCCAAGGUAGCCCCACAUGUUCCAAAGGGAUCGAAACUCAUUUGGAAGGGUAUGUUCUGAGAGAGAGAGAGAGAGAGAGAGAGAGAGAGAGAGAGAGAGAGAAGAAGAAGAAGAAGAAGAAGAAGAAGAAGAAGAAGAAGAAGAAGAAGAAGAAGAAGAAGAAGAAGAAGGAAGAACAACAAGAACAACAAGGAAGAAGAAGGAGAAGAAGGAGAAGGAGGAGAAGAAGGAGGAGGAGGAGGAGGAGGAAGAAGGAGAAGAGAGAGAAUUUCUUCUACUACUUCUUUAUAUUUAUGUAUUUAUUCUCUUUUGCACUUAGUGUGUAACUUGGUGCCUUACAUAAACCAUGGAAUAAUUAGGCUUUCUUCAGGAUGUAAGGAAAUUCCCUACAUCAGAGGACCUUACUAUCCAAGCUAAGGUGUUUGUAGCUGGAGCCUACUCACCUACAGAGACCUCCUACAGAGGGGCUCUGCCCUGGCCUUUUGGGAUUCAGAGCUGAGGCGGGACACAGAGUUCGACAAAGCCAGAAGACUGAUAAUCUCAGACCUAACUGUACUGGGAGCUGGGAGCUGGGAGCUGUUGGCUUCAGGAAACUUAACCCUCUCUUGUUUAUUCUAUGGCCGAAAACUGCUGACUUCUUUUCGCUUUAACUCUGUGCUCUGGAGAAACUUAACUCUUUGUGCUUAAAUAAGCACUGGGGGUCACUUAACUCUUUGUUACUAUUCUGUGCUUUAAUAAACGCUGAGCAUUCUUCAACUCUCUUA